UUGACAUCCUUAAAUCCUUGACGUCCUUGCUUCUUCUCUCUCUCAAAAGUUCAGUCCUCACGAGUGCCCUAACAUGCUCUCUUCUCUCGCCAUUACCCACUUCAUCUUGUUUAUGCUUAAGCUUGCCGUCGCCGUCGUGAAUGAAUCUUGUGACCCAUACUCUAAAGAAGAAAGGCAUCCUUGCCAGGAUCCGAGCUGAACUCAGAGCCAGUGUAUUUGAGGCUAUUGAAGAGGAGGGUCAGUUAUUGAUUGUAUCCAGCCGGUAAUUGCAGUCUGAAUUGAUGGCUUUGAUGAGUAAAGAAAGAAGGUGGAGAAGUAUUACGAGCCUCUAAGUGCUUAGCUGUUUUAGUCUUGGAGUUUAUCAACUAUCUAGAAGCUCAACAAUGAUUCCUAGGCUUCUAUCAGACAUGCAAACCGAAAUUAAUGUAGUUGUUCCAUAAUUAGUGUGGUAAUCACCCCAUCUCUUGGCCAUGAAGAUGUUAAUUUUCUGGCUAAUGAGAGUUUAAUCAUUCCCUUAUUGUAAAGAUGGGAAGGAUCAAAGUUGUUAUCUUUUACUACCAUAUGAUUUUAUUUUCUCAUAUUUCUUAUGUUUGUUAUUGAAUGUAAAUUUAUAUUUAUCAGAAGCUAAGAUGAUUUUUGUUCUUGGGGCUUAAAUGUUGUCAACAAAUGAUAAAUCUUCAAAUAUUUGUUUUUGAAAGUAUUUUUUUGUGACUA